CUUGGAGUUUUCUGGGAGAGGCCUCUUCAAGGGCGUCCUUGAAGCCCAGUCGCAGAUGUCCCUGUGGUUGCUAAAGGGGAGCUCAGGGUAAUGGAGUAUCCUCAAGAACCUACAGAUGUUACCUCCCACCAGAACCGUGGUGUCAGCCCUGGCUACAUAUUCCUUCAAUGGGAGGGCUUUAGAAAUGCUAUGUCAGAGCUGCACCCCUGACCAACAAAGUCAGACUUUCCAGGAUGCAGCCAAGGCAUCAAUAUGUGGAAAGCUUUCAGGAAAACUGAGCAAAAUGAAAGCCAAUUCAAAGAAGCAAUUAAGUACAUAAUUGUGCAGAUGAUAUGUGGAAAUGGUAAGAAUGGUGACAAUGGGACAUAAGUGACUGAUAUUUGGGAUACAUGGAUUAGAAGAAAAUAACCCCCAAGAGACCAGAAUAACUUUAGAGGGCAGCAAGGGUGACUGUCCAGCUAGGAAUCUCAUCAGCAAUGCAAAACAUUGUCACAGAUGUUGAGACAGACCUUGAGGUUAAUGCAUUGUUUCCAACAUUAGGUCCUAAAACUUCUCCUGAAAAGCUACCUUAAAUCUAACUUUUGAAGGUGCACAAUAAAAGUGAAUUAAAUAAAAACAACUUGAAAUUU